rnacentral:rRNA from 1 species
GAUGAACGCUGGCGGCGUGCCUAAUACAUGCAAGUCGAGCGAACAGACGAGGAGCUUGCUCCUCUGACGUUAGCCGCGGACGGGUGAGUAACACGUGGAUAACCUACCUAUAAGACUGGGAUCACUUCGGGAAACCGGAGCUAAUACCGGAUAAUAUAUUGAACCGCAGGGUUCAAUAGUGAAAGACGGUUUUGCUGUCACUUAUAGAUGGAUCCGCGCCGCAUUAGCUAGUUGGUAAGGUAACGGCUUACCACGGCAACGAUGCGUAGCCGACCUGAUAGGGUGAUCGGCCACACUGGAACUGAGACACGCUCCAGACUCCUACGGGAGGCAGCAGUAGGGAAUCUUCCGCAAAGGGCGAAAGCCUGACGGAGCAACGCCGCGUGAGUGAUGAAGGUCUUCGGAUCGUAAAACUCUGUUAUUAGGGAAGAACAAAUGUGUAAGUAACUAUGCACGUCUUGACGGUACCUAAUCAGAAAGCCACGGCUAACUACGUG